rnacentral:piRNA from 1 species
UGGAAGAGCCAAACCCGACUCUCUGCUGCCA